rnacentral:lncRNA from 1 species
CCAUGCUUAAACUAGAAUAUUUUUUUCCAAUUGCUGAAAAAGCUUUAUAGGUAUCUAUCUACACUCUUGCUAUGAUGUAAACUUUGAAAAACAAAAAUAUGAACUCUGACCAGAAUGGAGACACAUGGCACUCCACUGAUCAUAGCAAUUAUUAAAUAUUUGUUAAAUAUUUGUUAUGUUCUGCCCUAAUGGUACUACACCCUCCUCUUGUCAUUAUCCAUAUUAGCCAAAGAAGUAUUUUACAACCAUUCUGCCCAUUUGAUUCAUCCAAAGGGGAGGAUGUGCUGAUUUGGAGUGCUCUUAAAAGGAUGGUAAUUAAUGGAAUUGGAACGAUUUAUGCUAACCCAGAUUACAUACAGACCAGAGGUUUACCUCCCAGGAUGGUGCUUUUGUAGUUUCCUAGUGUUACGCAUUUCUUCUCACCAGACAGUGCAACAGGUUAUCAUGUGCAUUCCAUUUUUACUUUAAAUGUUGGUCUUCAAUUCUUCCCUAUUUUAUAUGCAAGAGCUACACGAUUUUGGUACUUUUUUUUUCCAUACUGGGACUGAUCAUGAGGGAGGAAAUCUAUGGAUUUGAAUGGCAACCUUUCAGUUGCUGUUUUCAACAAACUGAGGGUUGCUGGAGGGGAUGGGGGAUGGGCAAAAUGAGUGAAGAGGAGUGGGAAAUACAGACUUCCAGUCACAAAAUUAAUAAGUCACAGGGAUGAAAGGUACAGUAUAGCAAAUAUAGUCAGUGGUAUUGUUAAUAGCAUUGUAUGGUGACAGAUAGUAGCCACACUUGUGUAAGGAUAGCAUAACAUAUAAACUUGAAUUACUAUGUUACAAACUGUGCUUAAACUAAUGUGAUGUUGUCACCUACACUUUAAAAAAGGUUAUUAUCAUCAUUUUUUUUUUACCUAGAAGAGGUUUCUCUUAUGUAUCUUUGUUGUUCAUAUAACCUAUUUUAGGCAAAUAGAUAAAGUGGACAACUCCGUCCAAUAACCCUGAAAUUAAAAACCUGUAGCAGUUCUCUGAGCAGCAACUGCUUCAUCCCUGGGGGUAUCAAGCAUUGCAAAUAGUUACAAUGAAGAAAAAGGUGCAUUAGUUUCUAUUCCAUUUUUUUUUAAAUGUUGAUACAAACAUGACUCAGUCUUUCAUAAACUGAAAAUAAACACAAAAAUCUCCCAGUGCUUCAAGACCAAAAAUCAAAGUUUAAAGUUUCUCAAGACUGUUUUACCAGGUUUUUAUCCCCUGACAACCUGAUAAUACUUGAAAAUAUUUGGUUUCACUCUUUUCUUCCUUCUUCCUUCCUUCCUUCCUUCCUCCACUCCUCCCUUUCUCUCUCACUCCCUUUCUUCUUGCCUCCCUCGCUCCCUUAAUUUUUAAACCCUAGAGUGGACUAGGUGUAUUUGUUUAUUCUGCCUGUGUUCCAUGUUUUCAAAAACUAUUAUAGAUGCAAUGAUACCACAUUCUGGAAAGUCUGGGAAACUGGAGAAAAUGGUGGGGAAGGGAGCAUCUGUGAUUCCACUGUUGCUUCCAAUAGCUACUAGCACUUUGCUCUAUUUAUUCUUAAAUCUUCUAACAAAAAUACUUGUUUUAUUUUUUACUUUAUUUGUAUAAUAUGUGCAUGUAUAUUCCUUUUUUAAAAAUAACAUUUCUAUUUUUUACAUUUACCAAUAUAAAAUUAGUGCUUUAAAUAAGGUACUGUUUUUACUCAUUCCUUCUAGAAAUAGUUCUGAUGGUUAGGGAAGGAAAUAGAAGCACUGCCCCUUUAAAAAUGGUAUUAAGCCAGACAAGCUUGGUCAAGUCUAGUGAUGCCAAACCAUUAGAUGAGCCUUCCACGGGGUCAGUGAAAAGACCUUUCUGCACAUGGGAAAGUCUUAUGUAACUGGAAGAGGAAGGGAGGAAGAAUAGCUAUUCUCCAUCCACCUCUAAUAAAACACAAGAUUGGUCAUAAAUGAUCAUUUAUUCAGACUCCCACUGGUAGUAUAAAUCCCAUGACUUUAUAAUGCAUAUGUGGGGUACAACUCUCAAUUUUAAGAAUCCUUAAACUUUUCAAUGGAUUUAGCAUAGAGUCCAACACGGAAUAAUUCACUUCCCUGACCCAAAAUACCUAUUAUAUAACUAAAGUUCUCUGGGUUGCAAAUAAUAGAACUCACUUCUGCUUAGCUUAAGAAAAUUAAAAAAAAAAAAAAAAAA